rnacentral:tRNA from 1 species
AAGGAUUUAAGUUAAAAAAACUAUUAACCUUCAAAGUUAAAAAUAGAUUUUGUCUAAGCCUUA